AUUGAACGCUGGCGGCAGGCCUAACACAUGCAAGUCGAACGGUAGCACAGAGAGCUUGCUCUCGGGUGACGAGUGGCGGACGGGUGAGUAAUGUCUGGGAAACUGCCCGAUGGAGGGGGAUAACUACUGGAAACGGUAGCUAAUACCGCAUAACGUCGCAAGACCAAAGUGGGGGACCUUCGGGCCUCACACCAUCGGAUGUGCCCAGAUGGGAUUAGCUAGUAGGUGGGGUAAUGGCUCACCUAGGCGACGAUCCCUAGCUGGUCCGAGAGGAUGACCAGCCACACUGGAACUGAGACACGGUCCAGACUCCUACGGGAGGCAGCAGUGGGGAAUAUUGCACAAUGGGCGCAAGCCUGAUGCAGCCAUGCCGCGUGUAUUAAGAAGGCCUUCGGGUUGUAAAGUACUUUCAGCGGGGAGGAAGGCGGUGGAGUUAAUAACUUCACCGAUUGACGUUACCCGCAGAAGAAGCACCGGCUAACUCCGUGCCAGCCGCCGCGGUAA
rnacentral:rRNA from 1 species